GACGAACGCUGGCGGCGUGCUUAACACAUGCAAGUCGAACGGAAAGGCCCUGCUUGCGGGGGGCUCGAGUGGCGAAAGCGUGAGUGACACGCGGGUGAUAUGCGCUCCUCUUCGUGAGAUGCCUUCGAGACUGGGUCUAUAAUAGGGUAGGGGCCCUUCUGCUUGAUGGGGUGGGAAGGUUUGUUUGGUUGGGGGUGGGUUCGCGGCCUGUCAGCUUGUUGGUGGGGUAGUGGCUUACCAAGGCUUUGACGGGUAGCCGGCCGGAGAGGGUGACCGGCCACAUUGGGACUGAGAUACGGCCCAGACUCCUCCGGGAGGCAGCAGUGGGGAAUAUUGCACAAUGGGCGGAAGCCGGAUGCAGCAACGCCGCGUGCGGGAUGACGGCCUUCGGGUUGUAACCCGUUUUCGCCUGUGACGAAGCGUGAGUGACGGUAAUGAGUAAAGAAGCACCGGCUAACUACGUG
rnacentral:rRNA from 1 species